rnacentral:rRNA from 1 species
CGGAUUGGAGUCUGCAACUCGACUCCAUGAAGCUGGAUUCGCUAGUAAUCGCGCAUCAGCCAUGGCGCGGUGAAUACGUUCCCGGGCCUUGUACACACCGCCCGUCAAGCCAUGGGAGCCGGGGGUGCCUGAAGUACGUGACCGCGAGGAGCGUCCUAGGGCAAAACUGGUGACUGGGGCUAAGUCGUAACAAGGUACC